rnacentral:rRNA from 1 species
AGAGUUUGAUCCUGGCUCAGAAUGAACGUUGGCGGCGUGGAUUAGGCAUGCAAGUCGAGCGAGAAUUCCCCGCAAGGGGAAGGACAGCGGCGAAAGGGAGAGGAACACGUAGUUACCUACCCUCAGGACUGGGAUAGCUCCGGGAAACCGGAGGUAAUACCAGAUAACAUCUUCGGAUCAAAGGUGUGAUUCCGCCUGUGGAGGGGACUGCGUCCUAUUAGCUUGUUGGUGAGGUAACGGCUCACCAAGGCAUUGAUGGGUACGGGGUGUGAGAGCAUGCCCCCGCUCACUGGGACUGAGACACUGCCCAGACACCUACGGGUGGCUGCAGUCGAGGAUCUUCGGCAAUGGGCGCAAGCCUGACCGAGCGACGCCGCGUGCGGGAUGAAGGCCUUCGGGUUGUAAACCGCCGUCGGGAUGGAGGAAAUUCCAGAGGGUAAUCUCUUUGGAG